GUUUUGCCGUUCGACAUAACGCCCCUGCACCGAGCCGAGCGUGCCUAGAUUGAGUAGAUCACUGAUGAACACGAUAUCAAUUCAGUUAUAAAGCAUCAUUAGCGCAGGCAAAUUGUCGUCGGCAUUGGAAAGUGUGAGAUACCUACGUUACUCUCGUGCCGGAUCGUAGAAAAAUUGCAAACGAGAAUGAGAAUUUGUGCGGUUGGGUCAAAUCGUUGCACCUCACCAGCCACCACCCCGUUGUCAAUCGUUGAUGUUGGAAGAUUAAUUUCCUAGAGUCACGCUUCGGCGGAUAAGGCAAUAUCAAUAAGCUCGACUGCGCUGAAGCCAACGGCGGCUGUUGUGGUGCUGAACACAACUCGACUUCGAGGGCCUACUCCUCCUUCAAUGAUUCAUCAAAUAUUAUUACAGCACAAAUAAAAGAUCGAUUGAGA